rnacentral:rRNA from 1 species
GUGUCAGCAGCCGCGGUAACACGUAGGGACCAAGCGUUGUCCGGAUUUAUUGGGCGUAAAGCGCUCGUAGGCGGUUCGGUAAGUCGGGUGUGAAACCUCCAGGCUCAACCUGGUGACGCCACCCGAUACUGCCGUGACUUGAGUUCGGUAGGGGAGCGGGGAAUUCCUGGUGUAGCGGUGAAAUGCGCAGAUAUCAGGAGGAACACCGGUGGCGAAGGCGCCGCUCUGGGCCGAAACUGACGCUGAGGAGCGAAAGCGUGGGGAGCGAACAGGAUUAGAAACCCCCGUAGUCC